AUAGUUCAAUGCAGCGCAGCUCCUGCGUCAUUUCGUAUCGAGAUGCCGUUUUGAUCACUGCGAAGGGUUGUGGAGACAUUGGCGGCUGUGGUGGAGGCGGGUAGCGCGGAGAUAUCUUCUCGCGAUGGCGGAGGUGACAACUGCAACGGGUCUCCAUUACGUGCCCACGUCCGAUGGAUUUGCCAACUUGUAUCCGAGAAUCUUGCUUUAUCCUGAAUGAAAAUAUUCAAUUGUAGUAUUAAAUAUUAACUUUGUUCAUAACUUUUUAUUUGGAAAUGGCUACUUUAUUACUUUAAUAGAAUUAUUUAUAGCGAUGAAAUCGCCUCUGUUGCAUUGUAUUAAUUCUUGGUCUUGGUUUAUUAGCUAUGCAAUGUUAUUGUAUUGUUUUUACUAUAUAAAUAUACUUGUUAUGUUUUCUUAA